UGGGGAAUAUUGGACAAUGGGCGAAAGCCUGAUCCAGCCAUGCCGCGUGAGUGAUGAAGGCCCUAGGGUUGUAAAGCUCUUUUGUGCGGGAAGAUAAUGACGGUACCGCAAGAAUAAGCCCCGGCUAACUUCGUGCCAGCAGCCGCGGUAAUACGAAGGGGGCUAGCGUUGCUCGGAAUCACUGGGCGUAAAGGGUGCGUAGGCGGGUCUUUAAGUCAGGGGUGAAAUCCUGGAGCUCAACUCCAGAACUGCCUUUGAUACUGAAGAUCUUGAGUUCGGGAGAGGUGAGUGGAACUGCGAGUGUAGAGGUGAAAUUCGUAGAUAUUCGCAAGAACACCAGUGGCGAAGGCGGCUCACUGGCCCGAUACUGACGCUGAGGCACGAAAGCGUGGGGAGCAAACAGG
rnacentral:rRNA from 1 species